UGGCGGACUGGUGAGUAACGCGUGAGGAACCUGCCUUUCAGAGGGGGACAACAGUUGGAAACGACUGCUAAUACCGCAUGACGCAUUUUGAUCGCAUGGUCGAAAUGCCAAAGAUUUAUCGCUGAAAGAUGGCCUCGCGUCUGAUUAGCUAGUUGGUGAGGUAACGGCCCACCAAGGCGACGAUCAGUAGCCGGACUGAGAGGUUGACCGGCCACAUUGGGACUGAGAUACGGCCCAGACUCCUACGGGAGGCAGCAGUGGGGAAUAUUGGGCAAUGGGCGCAAGCCUGACCCAGCAACGCCGCGUGAAGGAAGAAGGCUUUCGGGUUGUAAACUUCUUUUAAGUGGGAAGAGCAGAAGACGGUACCACUUGAAUAAGCCACGGCUAACUACGUGCCAGCAGCCGCGGUAAUACGUAGGUGGCAAGCGUUGUCCGGAUUUACUGGGUGUAAAGGGCGUGCAGCCGGGCAUGCAAGUCAGAUGUGAAAUCUCAGGGCUUAACCCUGAAACUGCAUUUGAAACUGUAUGUCUUGAGUGCCGGAGAGGUAAUCGGAAUUCCUUGUGUAGCGGUGAAAUGCGUAGAUAUAAGGAAGAACACCAGUGGCGAAGGCGGAUUACUGGACGGUAACUGACGGUGAGGCGCGAAA
rnacentral:rRNA from 1 species